rnacentral:rRNA from 1 species
UGGGGAAUUUUGGACAAUGGGCGAAAGCCUGAUCCAGCAAUGCCGCGUGUGUGAAGAAGGCCUUCGGGUUGUAAAGCACUUUUGUCCGGAAAGAAAUGGCUCUGGUUAAUACCUGGGGUCGAUGACGGUACCGGAAGAAUAAGGACCGGCUAACUACGUGCCAGCAGCCGCGGUAAUACGUAGGGUCCAAGCGUUACGAUCNCGUGCGUAAAGCGUGCGCAGGCGGUUGUGCAAGACCGAUGUGAAAUCCCCGAGCUUAACUUGGGAAUUGCAUUGGUGACUGCACGGCUAGAGUGUGUCAGAGGGGGGUAGAAUUCCACGUGUAGCGGUGAAAUGCGUAGAGAUGUGGAGGGAAUACCGAUGGGCGAAGGCAGCCCCCUGGGAUAACACUGAC